UGGGGAAUUUUGGACAAUGGGCGAAAGCCUGAUCCAGCAAUGCCGCGUGUGUGAAGAAGGCCUUCGGGUUGUAAAGCACUUUUGUCCGGAAAGAAAUCCUUGGCUCUAAUACAGUCGGGGGAUGACGGUACCGGAAGAAUAAGCACCGGCUAACUACGUGCCAGCAGCCGCGGUAAUACGUAGGGUGCAAGCGUUAAUCGGAAUUACUGGGCGUAAAGCGUGCGCAGGCGGUUUGCUAAGACCGAUGUGAAAUCCCCGGGCUCAACCUGGGAACUGCAUUGGUGACUGGCAGGCUAGAGUAUGCAGAGGGGGGUAGAAUUCCACGUGUAGCAGUGAAAUGCGUAGAGAUGUGGAGGAAUACCGAUGGCGAAGGCAGCCCCCUGGGCCAAUACUGACGCUCAUGCACGAAAGCGUGGGGAGCAAACAGGAUUAGAUACCCUGGUAGUCCACGCCCUAAACGAUGUCAACUAGUUGUUGGGGAUUCAUUUCCUUAGUAACGUAGCUAACGCGUGAAGUUGACCGCCUGGGGAGUACGGUCGCAAGAUUAAAACUCAAAGGAAUUGACGGGG
rnacentral:rRNA from 1 species